rnacentral:rRNA from 1 species
AUUGAACGCUGGCGGCAGGCCUAACACAUGCAAGUCGAACGAGUGGCGGACGGGUGAGUAAUGUCUGGGAAACUGCCUGAUGGAGGGGGCUAACUACUGGAAACGGUAGCUAAUACCGCAUACCAUCAGAUGCGCCACGCUGGGAGUGGCUUGUUGGUGGGGUAACGGCUCACCAAGGCGACGCUCCCUAGCUGGUCUGAGAGGAUGACCAGCCACACUGGAACGCAGACAGUGUCCAGACGCCUACGGGAGGCAGCAGUGGGGAAUAUUGGACAAUGGGCGCAAGCCUGAUGCAGCCAUGCCGCGUGUAUGAUGAAGGCCUUCGGGUUGUAAAGUACUUUCAGCGGAGAGGCGUUACCCGCAGAAGAAGCACCGGCUAACUCCGUGCCAGCAGCCGCGGUAAUUC